rnacentral:rRNA from 1 species
AUUGAACGCUGGCGGCAUGCCUUACACAUGCAAGUCGAACGGCAGCACGGGAGCAAUCCUGGUGGCGAGUGGCGAACGGGUGAGUAAAGUAUCGGAACGUGCCCAGUCGUGGGGGAUAACGUAGCGAAAGUUACGCUAAUACCGCAUACGAUCUAUGGAUGAAAGCGGGGGAUCGCAAGACCACGCGCGAUUGGACCGGCCGAUAUCAGAUUAGGUAGUUGGUGGGGUAAAGGCUCACCAAGCCGACGAUCUGUAGCUGGUCUGAGAGGACGACCAGCCACACUGGGACUGAGACACGGCCCAUACUCCUACGGGAGGCAGCAGUGGGGAAUUUUGGACAAUGGGCGCAAGCCUGAUCCAGCCAUGCCGCGUGCAGGAUGAAGGCCUUCGGGUUGUAAACUGCUUUUGUACGGAACGAAAAGGUUUGACUUAAUACGUUGGACUCAUGACGGUACCGUAAGAAUAAGCACCGGCUAACUACGUGCCAGCCGCCGCAGUAA